rnacentral:rRNA from 1 species
UAGGGAAUCUUCGGCAAUGGACGAAAGUCUGACCGAGCAACGCCGCGUGAGUGAAGAAGGUUUUCGGAUCGUAAAACUCUGUUGUUAGAGAAGAACAAGGACGUUAGUAACUGAACGUCCCCUGACGGUAUCUAACCAGAAAGCCACGGCUAACUACGUGCCAGCAGCCGCGGUAAUACGGAGGGUGCAAGCGUUAAUCGGAAUUACUGGGCGUAAAGCGCACGCAGGCGGUUUGUUAAGUCAGAUGUGAAAUCCUCGGGCUCAACCUGGGAACUGCAUCUGAUACUGGCAAGCUUGAGUCUCGUAGAGGGGGGUAGAAUUCCAGGUGUAGCGGUGAAAUGCGUAGAGAUCUGGAGGAAUACCGGUGGCGAAGGCGGCCCCCUGGACGAAGACUGACGCUCAGGUGCGAAAGCGUGGGGAGCAAACAGG